rnacentral:rRNA from 1 species
GAUGAACGCUGGCGGCGUGCCUAAUACAUGCAAGUCGAACGGAAGGUCGCAAGGCCUUUAGUGGCGAACGGGUGAGUAACGCGUUGGUACCUGCCCCAAAGCGGGGGAUAACGGACCGAAAGGUUCGCUAAUACCCCAUGUGCUCCGCAAGGAGUAAAGGUGAAAAUCACUUUGGGAGGGGCCUGCGUCCCAUCAGCUAGUUGGUAAGGUAACGGCUUACCAAGGCGAUGACGGGUAGGGGACCUGAGAGGGUGGCCCCCCACAAUGGAACUGAAACACGGUCCAUACACCUACGGGUGGCAG